rnacentral:lncRNA from 1 species
GCCGCUGCGGGCUCCAGCGCCUGCCGCCCAGACACCAGCCGACCGCGCGCCCCCUGGAAGCGUCCUGCAGCCGCCUUCUGGGCGCGCGAGGCGAGAAAGUCGCCGGUCUGCCUCACUGUGUUUCCUAUAGGCAGUGGGGAAAGUGAUAGUCACAUCAUCUCCUGGGUAUCCGAUUCACUUAGGUUGAUGUAACAGGAGAAGCAGAAAUUCCUUACACAGAGAGAAGCAGUCGCCGCUAACCCCAAGGGUUCCGUGACAGCUCAGUAAUCUGCUUUGAAGUAGGAAGGAGAAGAUGCCCUCCGCCAGCCUCCCAGGGUCAUACUCCAUGAAGGAUGCCUACCACUGAGCUGCCUGGGCCCUGAAAUGUUAUUGCCCUUUGAUUGUGCUGCUCUCCAAACCCUCUUACACACACGCCACAAACACUUGAGGUUCUGUCACAAAGCAAAAGUAACUAGACUGAGAUGGGGCAAUGGCCUUCCCAAACACCUAUCUUUUUAUUAUAAAGCUUCAGCAGGGAGUUCCCAUCCUAGCUCAGCAGUAACGAGCCUGAGUUGUAUCUGUGAGGACAUGGGUUUAAUCCCUGGGCUUGCUCACUGGGUUAAGGAUCUAGUGUUGCCAUGAGCUGUGGUGUAGGUUGCAGAUGCUGCUUGGGUCCCGUGUUGCUGUAGUGUAGGCUGGCAGCUGCAGCUCUGAAUCAACCCCUAGCCCAGGAACUUCCAUAUGCCAGGGUACAGCCCUAAAAAGACAAAAAAAAAGCCUCAGCAUUAUUCAACAACUCUCAUUAGAAUAUAAUUUAAGAAAAUCUCCCCCCCCCAAAAAAGUCUAUUGCUCAUUCCCCAGUAAGCUAAGGUUUGUCAUGCUUAAGAAGUAGCUUAACAAGGAUGUGCAUUUUGCAAAUACAAAUGGACACAAACUCACAGACAUUCCUCUACAGACCUCUGAGUUCCUAAUGUUUUCUAAAUUGAUAAAUUACCUAAUUUUCCUAAGGGAAGACCCAUAACCUCAAUUAUAGCUUCUCCUCAAUAAAAUAUCUUUUAAAAUAUCACAUAAUAUCACUUAACAUGGAAUUGGAAAAAACUGAUACAAAUGAACUUAUUUACAAAAAAGAAAUAGGCUCACAGACAUAGAAAACAAACUUGCAGUUAUCAAGGGGGAAAAGGUAGGGGGACAGAUAAAUUGGGAUUAGCAGAUACACACAUAUAUAAAACAGAUAAACAACUAGAAUCUACUCUAUAGCAGAGGAAGUAUAUCCAACAUGUGUAAAAACCUAUAAUGGAAAAGAAUCUGAAAAGUUUUGUAUAUAUAUAAAAUUGUGUAUAUAUAAAACUGUACAUACAUAAAACUGAAUCACUUUGCUGUACACCUGAAACUAACACAACUUUGUACGUCAGCUACAUUGCAAUUAAAAAAAAAAUAGCAGAGUAGCACCUUGUAUAGAAAAUCCAUUUCUCCUAGGCAUCAAAUAGAUGUCACCUGCCUUUUCAUUUUUGCUUUUUCUUUUCUUUUUUUGUUUGGGGUUUUUUUAUUUUUGUCUUUUUGCCUUUUCUAGGGCCGCUCCUGCAACAUAUGGAGAUUCCCAGGCUAGGGGUCUAAUCAGAGCUGUAGCCACCAGCCUACACCAGAGCCACAGCAAUGUGGGAUCCAAGCCACAUCUGCCACCUACACCACAGCUCACGGCAAUGCCAGAUCCUUAACCCACUGAGCAAGGCCUGGAAUUGAACCCGCAACCUCAUGGUUCCUAGUCAGAUUCGUUAACCACUGAGCUACGACGGGAAUUCCUUUUUCUUCCUUUUCUAGGACGAUGCCUGUCUUCAGGAAGGAGUGGCAGGGAGUCCUAGGGAUCUGGUCACUCAGAGCCAUCAAACCGGCCCUGACUGUCCAACAGGCCACAUGUUUCCCUUUUACAACCUUUUUUCCCAUUUGUGAAGCCUCUGACAUCACAACACAUACUUUCCUGCCUUAAAGUCCCCUAAGUAGUAAAUUGUGAAUUAGUUGUAACCUGAGCCUGCGAGGAAAGAAAUAGUUUGGCAUAUAGAAUACUCACUCUAGUUCUGGAUUUUGUUUUUUGUUCUGUUUUGUUUUUUGGCUGCCCAUGGCAUAUGAGGUCCCCGGCCAGGGAUCAGAUCUGAGCUGCAGUUGCAACCUAUGCCGCAGUUGUGGCAAUGCUGGAUCCUUAACCCAUUGUGCCAGCCAGCAUCCAACCUACAUCCCAGCACAUCAGAGAUGCCACCCAUCUGGCUUCGCCACAGCAGGAACUCCCCAAGUCCUGGUUUUGAUUGGCUGUCUACUAUCACUUGAGGUUUUCAGGGAAGAUUGAUGUCCAGGAGACAGGCCAAGCCAUGCAGUCCUGUAUUCCUAGCAGGUUUGGACUUCAAACCCCAGAAUAGUUCUUUGGUGAAGAACUAUAUUUUGCCUUCUUUCUGAAGGGCUGGAGUUUGUUACAUAAAACUCUAAUGUUUAUGUAAUCAAAUGUGUCAAUCUUUUCUGUAUAACUUCUGGGUUUUGUAUUAUCCUUUUUAAAGUCUUGCCCAUUCUAGAAUCAAAAAAAAUAUGCAUCUAUGUCUUCUUAUAGGACGUCUGUGAUUUCAUGCUUUACAUGCAAAUCUCUGAUCCAUCUGGAACUUCUUUUGGUAUAAGAAGUAAGAUAAGGGCCUACUUUUACUUGUUUCCCAUCCCAAAUGACAAAUUGAGUAAACUCAAUUACCAUUUAUUGAAUAAUCUACCUUUUAAAAAAGUCCUUUAAAUAGCAACUUUCUCCAUAGAGAUUUUAAUAUGAUUCAGUCUAUACAAGCUCUAUGUAUGCAUUUAUAAAAGUUCUAUUUGAACAUGAUGCCAGGAACAGCUAUAGGGUGGUGGGCAGUUGUUAAAAUGCCCCCUCCUCAGGUCAGUUUCCCUACCAUAAAAAAUUAAGGCAGCACUAUGUACCUUGCCGUGUUCUUGUGGGGAUUUUAAGAAUAAAGUAUGUAGAUACCUC